GAACGUGAAGGAGGUGACCAA
rnacentral:misc_RNA from 1 species